GACGAACGCUGGCGGCGUGCCUAAUACAUGCAAGUCGAGCGAACCGACGAGGUGCUUGCACCUUUGACGUUAGCGGCGAACGGGUGAGUAACACGUAAGGAAUCUACCUAUAAGUGGGGGAUAACAUCCGGAAACGGGUGCUAAUACCGCAUAAUAACCGACACCACAUGGUGUAAGUUUGAAAGAUGGCUCUGCUGUCACUUAUAGAUGACCUUGCGGUGCAUUAGCUAGUUGGUGGGGUAAUAGCCUACCAAGGCGACGAUUGGUAGCCGGUCUGAGAGGAUGAACGGCCACAUUGGGACUGAGACACGGCCCAG
rnacentral:rRNA from 1 species